AACAGAUAUUUCCACAGCCUUCCAGGGCAUCCCCAGCCAGAGUGCUCAAACACUUGAGCCCAUCUCUGAAGGCUAUCUCUGAUCCAGGCCAUCACACCACAGAAAGGAAUAAAAUACUGAAGCAUGUUACAUCAAAAUGGAGGUGCUGCAAAACACCACCCUGAGAGAAAAGCCUGCUGUGCCCAGCGCAGCUUCACCCAAGCACAUGAGGGCCUCCUAGCAGGGGAGCCCACGAAGACAGAAACCUGUUGGUGUUUGGUCUGUUGCUAUGUAUUGUAAUGGCCUCCAAGAUCCGGUUGCCUGAGGGACAAGGAGAUCCUCGUGGACACCAUGUGAUGCUAUUGCUGGAGAAGCAGACAAGAAGAUCCCUGGGUCUCAAUGGACUGGAUCCUGCCUGAUUGUUGAGCUUCAGGUCCAUUGAGAGACUGUCUCAUAAAACAAGGUCAUGCUUGUUCAAUGGACCCUGACCACAUCCGUGGAUGGAUAAAUGGGCGGAUGAGUAGAUGCAUGAAUGAAGAGAUGGGUGCAUGAGUGAAUUGAUGGAUAUGUGGGUGGAGGGAUGUAUGGAUGGGCAGAUGGAUGGAUUGUGGAUAGAUAAAAGCAGAGAUUAUAUAUGAGGGCUAUGGAUGAGUGAAUAUUUGAAUAGGAGGGUGGCUGAUGGACGGGCAUAUAGGGUAGUAGUUAGUAUGGAUGCAUAAUUACAUAGUUAGACAUGUGGGUGAGCAGAUAAAUCAGUCCCUGAAAUGGAUGAGUGGAUAUAUAGAUAGAAGGAUGGAUAGAUGAAUGACAGCUAGAUGGUUAGGUAGACAGCAGAUAGAUAGGUAAGUGGAUGGGUGAGUGGAUAGGCAGAUGAAUAGGUGAUUUGAUAGGGGAAUGGGUAGAUGGACAGAUGAGCAAAUGGAUGGCUAGGUGAGUAUGUGGGUGGAAGGUUGGGUAUAGGUGGGUGGGUGAGUAGAUGGAUAUGUGUGGGUGGGCAGGUGGGUAGGUGAAUGUAGGGUGGAUGAAUGGGUCGGUGAGUAGAUAAAGGGCCGAAUGGGGAAUGAGGAAUCCAUGUCCCUCUUCCCCCAGAGAACUUCACCAUGGACGAAAUCAAGAUACAUAUGCACACAUACUCUCACAUCCCAGGUUAGAAAUGAAGGGUCGACAUGACUUAAUAUAGAAAGACCUCACUUCCUUCCAUGUUCCAUUCCUCCCACUACCCACAGAUCCAGGUAUGGGGAGCUGUGUGACUGAGUUAGGUGUAGACCUGGGCAACAUCUUCCUAAAAUGCCCACCCUUUCCUCACAGUAUUAACUGGUAUGUUCUACUCUUGCUCCACUGUAGAGGCAAGCACAUGCUUUCAGAAGUGUUCAUUUUGAAAAGGAUUCCUUCCUGACUCCAUAAUCAUCUCCCUUCCACCAAAGAGAGGAGGAAAAGCAGGAAGAGGAGGAGGGAGUGGGAGCAGGAAACUAAAAAACAAAUGCAAACCUCA